AUAUAGGCUGAAUGGGUGUUUAUCCUGGAGUGAGAGUUAAUUUAGUAAGGCAUGGGGUGUGUGUGUGUGUGUGUGUGUGUGUGUGUGUGUGUGUGUGUGUGUAUGGGGAUGGGGGAAACGGGACAGAGAAACAGGUCUCUGGCAUUGACCUCUUUCACAGUGUAAAUAUAACCCCAAAGGUCAAAACCACCCCCUAUAUUGACUUUAGCUCCACUCUGAUUAUUUACUGAAUUGCUACAAAAUGAAAUCAUCGGGAAAGGAAGAGGCCUUCUCAGAAGAGUCUUCCUCAACCAGCACAGGAUGAAGUUCAGCAGGAAGCUGCUCAGGCUUCAAGGUUCUGCCUGCAACAGGAGGAAAGAGAGCUUUGAGUUUUUGCUGCUCUGGUGUGUGAAGGGUCUUCCCUUAGAACUUAUCCAUGAUAACCCAUUUAAAGUAGAAUGCUGCAAUGGAAGAAAGGACACGUCAAAAAGCAUCUCUAGAGGAAUAAAGAAUACAGUUCAGUCUCUUCACAGCAGAUCUGAGUUGAAGAGUUUUGCUGGGAUGCAAUGUCAAGGAAUAAGAUCUCUUUAAAUCUUCAAGACCCAGAAGUUAUAAGGCUGAAGCCUGUACAGAGAAGAAUUCUGGUGAGGAAUGAGGAUCCCAGUGGAUACUUAUCAGGAACAAUCUCCAGAAGUCAGGUGCGGAUAGUCCGUUAUCUUCGGCUUUCUUCCUUCCAAUGGGAGAGUUAUUCUGUUGCCUUUGGCCCAAUCUAGGGCAAGUGGAGGGGGUUUGAUUCCCCAUGUUAACCCUUCUCUCUCUCCUUUAUCCUCUCCCUCCUUCUCUCCCUCCCUCUCUUCUUCCAUCUCUCCUCUUCUCUUUGCUUCCCCUUCUUUUUCUCUCCCUCUCCUCUCCUUCCUUUUUCUCCCUAUCUAUAAAAUGACCUUCUUCAGCUAGAGAAUAAGGACACAUGCCUAACCCCAAGGAAUAGUGCAGACCUGCUGAAGCUUGAGGAAAGAACAUUGUUG
rnacentral:lncRNA from 1 species